rnacentral:rRNA from 1 species
UCUUCGAGAUAGGUAGUAGUUAAGGUGAUGGCUUAACUAGCCAAAAACUCUCGUAGUCGAAGCUGAAAGGUUGAUCGACCACAUUGGGUCUGAAAAAACCCCAAUGCAAGUUAGUACAGCAGUGAGGAAUCUUGGUCAAUGGCCUAACGGCUGAACUGGCAACUUGGAGAAGUGGCAAGUCUUAUUUUGAUUAUAUUACAAUAUAUAAUCUAUAAGAUUGUAUUAAAAUUGAAUAAAGCUUUGUUUAUAUAUUGAUAAUGACAGUAUAUAUAUCGUGUCUUGACUAAUUACGUGCCAGCAGUCGCGGUAAUACGUAAGAGACUAGUGUUAUUCAUCUUGAUUAGGUUUAAAGGGUACCUAGACGGUCAAUAUAUCUUCUAAAAUGUUAGUACUUGACUAGAGUUUGAUAUAAGAGGGCAGUACUUGAGGAGGAGAGAUGAAAUUCUAUUAUACCAAAGGGACUCGGUAAAGGCGAAGGCAGCCCUCUAUGUAAAAACUGACGUUGAAGGACGAAGGCACAGAGCACAAACAGGAUUAGAUACCCAA